rnacentral:rRNA from 1 species
AACGAACGCUGGCAGCGUGGAUUAGGCAUGCAAGUCGAACGAGAAUCGUGAUGUUCAAGUCUUCGGAUAAGAAAAUUGCGAGGAAAGUGGCGGAAGGGUGAGUAACGCGUGGGCAAUUUGCCUUAAGGUUGAGGAUAGCUUGCCGAAAGGCGAGGUAAUACUGGAUGUGAUCGUGUCGCGCAUGCGACACUGUUUAAAGAUGGGGAUUCUUCGGAACCUGUCGCCUUUUGAGAAGCCCGCGUCCUAUCAGCUUGUUGGUGAGGUAACGGCUCACCAAGGCUUUGACGGGUAGCUGGUCUGAGAGGAUGGUCAGCCACACUGGGACUGAGACACUGCCCAGACUCCUACGGGAGGCUGCAGUCGAGGAUCAUUUGCAAUGCGCGAAAGCGUGACAAUGCGACGCUGCGUGGAGGAUGACGGCCUUCGGGUUGUAAACUCCUGUCAUUUGGGAACAAUCCCGCGGCGGUGAAUAGCCGUCGCGGUUGAUGGUACCGAAAGAGGAAGUCACGGCUAACUCUGUGCCAGCAGCCGCGGUGAUACAGAGGUGGCAAGCGUUGUUCGGAUUUACUGGGCGUAAAGGAUGCGUAGGUGGCGUCGUGUGUCGGAUGUGAAAGCUCAGCGCUCAACGCUGGAAGUGCAUUCGAAACUACGGUGCUUGAGUAUGGGAGAGGAGAGUGGAAUUCUUGGUGUAGCGGUGAAAUGCGUAGAUAUCAAGAAGAACAUCGGUGGCGAAGGCGACUCUCUGGCCCAAUACUGACACUGAGGCAUGAAAGCUGGGGGAGCAAACAGGAUUAGAUACCCUGGUAGUCCCAGCUGUAAACGGUGUACACUUGGUGUGGGGGGAUUUGACCCCCUCUGUGCCGGAGCUAACGCGUUAAGUGUACCGCCUGGGGAGUACGGCCGCAAGGUUAAAACUCAAAGAAAUUGACGGGGGCCCGCACAAGCGGAGGAGCAUGUGGCUUAAUUCGAUGCAACGCGAAGAACCUUACCAGGGCUUGACAUGUAACUGCAAGUCCCGUGAAAGCGGGAUGCCUUCGAGGGUGUUACACAGGUGCUGCAUGGCUGUCGUCAGUUCGUGCCGUGAGGUGUUGGGUUAAGUCCCGCAACGAACGCAACCCUUGUGUUUAGUUGCCACUGCCGGUGAUGAAUCGGCAAGCACUCUAGACAGACUGCCUAUAUCAAGUGGGAGGAAGGUGGGGAUGACGUCAAGUCAGUAUGGCCUUUAUGCCCUGGGCUGCACACGUGCUACAAUGGCCGGUACAGAGGGUCGCAAGACCGCGAGGUGGAGCUAAUCCCCAAAACCGGCCCCAGUUCAGAUUGGAGUCUGCAAUUCGACUCCAUGAAGUUGGAUUCGCUAGUAAUGGCGCAUCAGCUACGGCGCCGUGAAUACGUUCCCGGGCCUUGUACACACCGCCCGUCACAUCAUGAAAGCUGUCUGCACCCGAAGUCGCUGAUCUGACCCGCAAGGGAGGAAGGCGCCGAAGGUGUGGGGAGUGAUUGGGAUG